rnacentral:lncRNA from 1 species
UUUCAUUUUGUUUAGGAACCAUUGCUGGAGAGCUAGUGUGAUCCUUUGGUAGUGUCACAACAUUCAGAUUUUUCAUAGUGCCAGAAUUCUUGUGCUGGUUCCUUCUCAUUUGUAGACACUGGUACUUCUAACUUUUGUACUUAUUUCAGUGCAGAUAGGAUUUGCUUUUCUUUCCCUUUCCCCACUCCCUGGAGGGUGUGACGGAAGAAAAUGCUGAUUAAGAUGUAUUGACUUUGCUUUUGCAGUCUUACGCAUUUCUGUUGGCAGGUUUUAUAUUGGGCCAUAGGGUCCAAGCUACAGACCAGUAGAUGGUAUUUAUGGAUAAGAGCUUGCUGUGGCCAACAUCACUGUGCAUAUACUUGAUCCUUGUUUACUGGAAGAAGCUCUCUGUUGCCCCAGGGAAUGGGCUAAUCCACGGAGUGCUCAGCAGUCUGAUCUUUACCUGAUUAAGAGUAUUAGUUUCUCCUGUGGCUGCAGCCAGAGGUAGUCAAGACUGGAACAUUCAAAAUGGCAUCUCCCUGGAGACAGAUCAAAAGCUGGAAUCUUCCUCUGGCAGCUAUCUUCAAAAUCUAACAACAAGAAGCUGCUGUAAGGGUGGAUCAAACAAGCAUGGCACAAUGUGGAUAGUUUUUGAAGUCGAGUG